rnacentral:rRNA from 1 species
CCUACGGGAGGCAGCAGUGAGGAAUAUUGGUCAAUGGACGAGAGUCUGAACCAGCCAAGUCGCGUGAGGGAUGACGGCCCUAUGGAUUGUAAACUUCUUUUGUAUGGGAAUAAAAGAGGGUAUGCAUACCCUCUUGUGUGUACCCGAUGAAUAAGCAUCGGCUAACUCCGUGCCAGCAGCCGCGGUAAUACGGAGGAUCCGAGCGUUAUCCGGAUUUAUUGGGUUUAAAGGGUGCGUAGGUGGAUUGUUAAGUCAGUGGUGAAAGUUUGCGGAUCAACCGUAACCUUGCCGUUGAAACUGGCAGUCUUGAGUAAAGUAGAGGUGGGCGGAAUGCGUGGUGUAGCGGUGAAAUGCAUAGAUAUCACGAAGAACUCCGAUUGCGAAGGCAGCUCACCGG